GUGAAUCAUCGAAUCUUUGAACGCAAAUUGCACUCUCCGGUUUUCCGGGAGGGUAUUCCUGUUUGGGGUUCUGUUUAAAAAAUACUCGAGGCUGCUGCUGUGGUGGCGCUUCGGAAUUGGGUCAUCUUCCACCUUUCGGGGUUUUAGGCGCCCUAAAAUUUUUCUUACGAUUUCUACGAGCUUGUCUAAGUAUUUUUCUUGUACGUUCGCGGCAUCGGAUUCAUAUUAGAGGUGACCGUCGCAUCGGAUUGGCUCC
rnacentral:misc_RNA from 1 species